CUUUACCUAUUACUUCUUCACUUAUUAGUCUCAACGUCUGGCGCAAAGCCAGACGUUUUCCAUUACGAUUUCACUACGAUGUUUGACAAGAAGGAGCAGUGCGCGAGAUAUGCUAAUGAGCAGACUUCCCUCGCUUGAGUUUCUGAAGAAUGUUCCAUAUCGCGCUAAGCUCAUCACUACUGAUUAUGACAGGCGUGCAACGGCACACAUCCACAGAGCACUCUUCAAAUCAUCUACACAGUGGUUAUCCAACUAGGAUUAUAAAGCUGUCAUGCAACGCAACAACUGUGCUAUCUGCCAUCGCACAUCAACGAAGAAGUGCAGCCGCCCACAUUCCACCUCACGUCUGUCCGACCAGCUGCAAUCCUUGAGGACGCCCCACUGUACCACGAUUUCACUACGAUGUUUGACAAGAAGGAGCAGUGCGCGAGAUAGGCUAAUGAGCAGACUUCCCUCGCUUGAGUUUCGGAAGAAUGUUCCAUAUCGCGCUAAGCUGACCACUGCUGACCAUGACAGGCGUGCAUUGGACUGGUACAGGUUGGAACUAAACAUUGAAUAUGCUGGUGGUGACGCUUUCUGAUGAGAAGUUGGUCGUGACUGAUGCAGUAUCCUUGGACUUGUCCACAGCAUCGUUCAAUCAUUGCUCUCUGAGCUGCCUUGAUUCUGUACUUACCCAAAUACUAAGACCAAAUGCCUGUUGACUGUGCUUUAAGAGAGACUGGCGCCAUGCCUAGAGAUAUGACUGACCCCUAUUGGCAAAUUUGUAUGACUUUAUCUUGCCUACCUAGCUGCUGCCUAUAGUCUCCCUUUAACUGCGGAACACUUCAAAGUCGAUAAAAUGCCAUGUUCCACCUUUUAAUGUGUUCAGACCGCCAUUUUCAAAAUAAUCAAGUCAGGACACUGCCUUCUAGUCUCAUAAUA